rnacentral:snRNA from 1 species
GUGCUUGCUUUGGCAGCACGUAUACUAAAAUUGGAAUGAUAUAGAGAAGAUUAGCAUGGCUCUUGUGCAAGGAUGACACGCAAAUUUGUGAAGCAUUCCAUAUUUUU